AGAGUUUGAUCCUGGCUCAGGACGAACGCUGGCGGCGUGCCUAAUACAUGCAAGUCGAACGAAGCUUUCUUUCACCGAAUGCUUGCAUUCACCGAAAGAAGCUUAGUGGCGAACGGGUGAGUAACACGUAGGCUACCUACCCAAAAGAGGGGGAUAACACUUGGAAACAGGUGCUAAUACCGCAUAACCAUGAACACCGCAUGAUGUUCGUGUAAAAGACGGCUUUUGCUGUCACUUUUGGAUGGGCCUGCGGCGUAUUAACUUGUUGGUGGGGUAACGGCCUACCAAGGUGAUGAUACGUAGCCGAACUGAGAGGUUGAUCGGCCACAUUGGGACUGAGACACGGCCCAAACUCCUACGGGAGGCAGCAGUAGGGAAUCUUCCACAAUGGACGAAAGUCUGAUGGAGCAACGCCGCGUGAAUGAAGAAGGCCUUCGGGUCGUAAAAUUCUGUUGUCAGAGAAGAAUGUGCGUGAGAGUAACUGUUCACGUAUUGACGGUAUCUGACCAGAAAGCCACGGCUAACUACGUGCCAGCAGCCGCGGUAAUACGUAGGUGGCAAGCGUUGUCCGGAUUUAUUGGGCGUAAAGGGAACGCAGGCGGUCUUUUAAGUCUGAUGUGAAAGCCUUCGGCUUAACCGAAGUAGUGCAUUGGAAACUGGAAGACUUGAGUGCAGAAGAGGAGAGUGGAACUCCAUGUGUAGCGGUGAAAUGCGUAGAUAUAUGGAAGAACACCAGUGGCGAAAGCGGCUCUCUGGUCUGUAACUGACGCUGAGGUUCGAAAGCGUGGGUAGCAAACAGGAUUAGAUACCCUGGUAGUCCACGCCGUAAACGAUGAGUGCUAAGUGUUGGAGGGCUUCCGCCCUUCAGUGCUGCAGCUAACGCAUUAAGCACUCCGCCUGGGGAGUACGGUCGCAAGACUGAAACUCAAAGGAAUUGACGGGGGCCCGCACAAGCGGUGGAGCAUGUGGUUUAAUUCGAAGCAACGCGAAGAACCUUACCAGGUCUUGACAUCUUCUGACAAUUCCAGAGAUGGAACGUUCCCUUCGGGGACAGAAUGACAGGUGGUGCAUGGUUGUCGUCAGCUCGUGUCGUGAGAUGUUGGGUUAAGUCCCGCAACGAGCGCAACCCUUAUUGUCAGUUGCCAUCAUUAAGUUGGGCACUCUGGCGAGACUGCCGGUGACAAACCGGAGGAAGGUGGGGAUGACGUCAAAUCAUCAUGCCCCUUAUGACCUGGGCUACACACGUGCUACAAUGGACGGUACAACGAGUCGCUAACUCGCGAGGGCAAGCUAAUCUCUUAAAGCCGUUCUCAGUUCGGAUUGCAGGCUGCAACUCGCCUGCAUGAAGUCGGAAUCGCUAGUAAUCGCGAAUCAGCAUGUCGCGGUGAAUACGUUCCCGGGCCUUGUACACACCGCCCGUCACACCAUGAGAGUUUGUAACACCCAAAGUCGGUGGGGUAACCUUUUGGAGCCAGCCGCCUAAGGUGGGACAGAUGAUUGGGGUGAAGUCGCAACAAGGUA
rnacentral:rRNA from 1 species